AUUGAACGCUCGCCGCACGCCUAACACAUGCAAGUCGAGCGGAUGAAGGGAGCUUGCUCCUGGAUUCAGCGGCGGACGGGUGAGUAAUGCCUAGGAAUCUGCCUGGUAGUGGGGGAUAACGUCCGGAAACGGGCGCUAAUUCCGCAUACGUCCUGAGGGAGAAAGUGGGGGAUCUUCGGACCUCAUGCUAUAAGAUGAGCCUAGGUCGGAUUAGCUAGUUGGUGGGGUAAAGGCCUACCAAGGCGACGAUCCGUAACUGGUCUGAGAGGAUGAUCAGUCACUCUGGAACUGAGACACGGUCCAGACUCCUACGGGAGGGAGCAGAGGGGAGUAUUGGACAAUGGGCGAAAGCCUGAGCCAGCCAUGCCGCGUGUGUGAAGAAGGUCUUCGGAUUGUAAAGCACUUUAAGUGGGGAGGAAAGGCAGUAAGUUAAUACCUUGCUGUUUUGACGUUACCAACAGGAUAGGCACCGGCUAACUUCGUG
rnacentral:rRNA from 1 species